AUUAUAAAUCUAGCAAGAGAACAGAAAAAAAUAAAAUAAAAUGUAGAAGCAAGUUUUUCACUAAAUGAGAUGCAGCUGCUCUCGUGGUGACGAUGUCGAUGAUGAUCGCGGACGGCCAGAAUUUGAUGAAAAGACGUUCAUGAGUCUGGUUGUCGUUGGAAGUGAUUGAAGGUCAGAUUUGAUCAGCUGAACAUCAACUGAUUUCCCGGUAGAUCUUCGCAAAUGGGGGUGAUCCGUGUAAUGGCUUCUGUCGAUGGAAGUGAUUGAAGGUCAGAUUUGAUCAGCGGCUUCAGUGAAAUUGAUUGACCACAGCACAGAAGUACGAAACAUGGCUAUCAGCGAUGGAUCAGAUCGGUGAAGGCGCGCGAUUGAGGGAUGGUGAUUUUGAAGUUCAGGUGAAAGCAAUAUGUGGAUUGGCAAAAAAUUUUAGGGAUUUGAAACCCUAAAAAGCUGUGAAUAACGUAUCCAUACGGUUGCCAUUCCUUUUUAAUUUUAAAUGACUAAUUGAAUCCAACGGUUUGUUUUCUAAUUCCGGCAUUGUGCCAGGACGUGAUGACCAGCAUGCUAGCGGUAGCCUCAAAAUGGUGACAAUUAUGAAAUAAAUAGUUUUUAUAAAAUUACGAAACAUUAUUUCUGUCAAAAAUUAUAAAAUAAGCAGUUUAUUGAGUUUCAAUCCCAAUACGAAAGGGGCCGUAAGGACUUUAGUUUUGAUUGUAUUAAUUAGGUUCUCUCUAACUUUUGCAGCUUUAGAUCAAGGAGGAAAACAUCAUGCUUAAAGUUGAGAUAUAUUGAGUAAGGUAACUUAUUGAUCCUUUAUUGUAAUUUGAUUUUAAUUAAAUAUUUGAUUAAUAAAAACUCUCGUUAGAAAGUGGUGUCCGGAGUAUUAUUUUGAGUGCAGGUAGUAACACCCAAUCUUUUGAAUUUUCUCUUCAUAUCACUCGGAUAAAUUUUUUGAAUGCAGAAAAAAGAAAUUUGUAAAUGAAUGAUACGAAAUUUUAUUGAAGAAGAGAAAAGAGAGUAAAAGUAAAAAUUUUACAUGAUUUGAUUAGAAAGCAAACUGAUAACAAAACAAAUGCUCAAGGCACAUGUGACAUUACAGACUGCUGCUAAAAUGAGUAAAAACAUCGAGUAAAUACGGCAAACGGUGAACAAAGGAAAUAGCGACGGCAAGAACAAGAAGUAGCAAAAAGCAGAGACAUCAAGACUUGCUUAAAGCAUUCUCAGAAAGACCAAUUUCUACCAUUGUCAGGAUGAUUUCCCAGUGCAAAAGAAAUAAUCUUCCAUCCAUUUCGUGGACUAAUUACCACUCUAAAAUUAAUUUCUCAAUAUUAACUAAAUAUUACUCUCCAUACUUUUGGAUGUGGAUUCGAUGUUUUGAAAACCAACACAUAUGUGUAUGCACACGACCCUCUCAUUUCUUUGCCAGCUAAUUAGCAUAAAAUGUUUAUUCGUCCGAAUUCAUGUGACCAAUAUCAUUGUACUCAAUGUUAUAAGAUAACAUGUGAAGGACAUUUUUCCAGAAAAAGAAAAUCGGAAGGAAAAGGAAUGCUAAUGCUGUAGUGAUGGAAAUAUUAACCAAUUAAAAAGGUCUUAAUUUUUAUCGGAUAUGAAGAUCGUAGAUCAUAAUGAAAUCAUUUAAU
rnacentral:lncRNA from 1 species